AAACUUGUAUUUGAAUCCCAUAUCGUUGUUCUUAAUGAUUGUUAUUUCUGUCCCAGUUUCUUUUUAAAUAUCAUUUCUGUAGGCCUUCUGGCCAAAAAUGAUUAUGAAAUUUCAAUAAAGAAACAAAUUUAUAAUAUCAUUAAGAAUGGUGUUACUAUUUUUUGUGGAGAUUUGAACAAUGGUGUGUAUAUGUUAUCACAACCUGUUAAUGUAGUCUAUUCAACUGGCAAGCACACUAGAUUAGAUAGUGUGUCAGAUAUCUACUUAUGGCACUGUAGGCUAGGUCAUAUAAACAAGAACAGAAUAAACAGAUUGACUCAAGAGGGAAUCCUC
rnacentral:lncRNA from 1 species